AUCACUUCUCGGCCUUUUGGCUAAGAUCAAGCGUGUAGUAUCUGUUCUAUCAGCUUAACAUCUGAUGCAUCCUCUAUUGGAGGACAAUAUAUUAAAUGGAUUUUGGAAGUAGGAGCUGGGAAAGAAGCUUGUUCCAUCCACUCCAUGCAUCGACCUGGUACUGCAGGGUCUCUAGGAACGGUGCACCCUCG
ensembl:snRNA U2 U2 spliceosomal RNA